rnacentral:tRNA from 1 species
UUAGAAAGCGAAUAUUUGCAUUUAGUUUCGACCUAAAAAUUUGGCAUUAGCCUCUAAUUUUGAUAG